rnacentral:snoRNA from 1 species
GUGCCCUUUUAAGGUCGACGUGGUGCUUUGAGGGGCUAACACGGAGGGGCAAAGCAAGUCUCCAUAGAACCCAGAGAAGAGGCUGUACAUCUCCUCUCUGCAUCCUGUCUGGAGUCACAGCU